rnacentral:rRNA from 1 species
UACAGAGGGGGCAAGCGUUGUUCGGAAUUACUGGGCGUAAAGGGCGCGUAGGCGGCCUGUUAAGUCGAACGUGAAAUCCCCGGGCUCAACCCGGGAACUGCGUCCGAAACUGGCAGGCUCGAAUCCGGGAGAGGGAUGCGGAAUUCCAGGUGUAGCGGUGAAAUGCGUAGAUAUCUGGAGGAACAUCGGUGGCGAAGGCGACUUCCUGGACCAAUACUGACGCUCAGGUGCGAAAGCGUGGGGAGCAAACAGG